GCACAGUGACAGAGUCUGCAAAUGAAGAAAAGAUAAAGACACAGCAUAUACCUUUUGGGGGCCUCAAGAGGAAGAAGGAAUACUUCUAAGAGACUUUUUUUUUAAAAGAGAUCAAACUGGCAAGUACAGGUUAACCCUGAAUCAGAAGGUUAGGAAGACAGUGAAUAAAUGAAGUUUGGGCAAAUGAACAACUGUUCUGUCUUUGAGAAAAUUUUGCAUGACAAUCUUCAAAUUGGAUGAGAAAGGUGAAAUAAAAAGAGGAUUAAAAUACUCUCAAACUCAAGCAGAAGAUUAGAGAUAGCCACAGCCUAGAAUUAGAAGCCAAGCACAUCCUGACGCCAGUCCAUUGAAUUCAGAGUCACUGAACCGUGCUUUGUUUUCUGACCAGCUGGAGUGCAAAGUAUAUCAGCAAAUACUACAGGAGGAGGAGUGCAUGUGUCCUGAAUACAAAUUUCAAAGGAGAGCUAGAGAAGGGCAACUGGACAGUCCAGGAAACACAGACUGGACACGAGCAGAUUCGGAAUAUGAGGCACAGAGUUCAAAUGAUGGUACACAACGACCACUUUAUUUUGUAAAUAGCAGAACAGACUAAAUCCAGGUUCUCUAAUUACAAAAUCAUAUUGCCCUUUUACUCAUACUCCUGUUUUUGUUGUUGUUGCUGUUGUUGUUAUUGUCUCUCCUCUCCCUUUAUAAUUUCCAAAGUCAGAAAUGACAGAAAAGCUGGAGGAGUCAGGCUGGGGGUGGGAGGUGAAAAAAUGCUUUACACUGAUGGGUAGAAAUUUUAUACUUACAGAUAUGAUGUUGAAAAGGAGUAGGAAAAAAAUAAAAGCAGUUUAUGCAGAAAUGUGAAUUCAAACAAUAAAUGAACAGAUACAUUUCAUACUUGAAACAAUGAAAUAGCUAAAAACCUUAAACUCCUUUUCUCGGUAGUCUAGAUUCCUAAUCUACCACCUGUACUGAAGAUGUCAUAUCAUCUGGUGAACUUCCUGUAAAGAUCAUCUGACUAAAAAGUGUUUCCCAAGUUCCAGGUUAUCACAAGAGCCACCUUCAUCUCAACAUGAAAAGGUCCUUCAUGGUCAUCAGAAAUCAUGACCCAGGGUCAUUUAAUGUGCUAGUUCCUUGUAAGUCUGGGUCACAGCUCCCCAUCCAUGCUGAUGCCAGUGGAUUUUGUAAUGUUCAUGUAGAAACAGCAGGGAACAGUUAGCUGGAUUCCAUUCUGCCUCAUGCCUCAUCAACCAGAUGGUUGGCUGUAUCAAAGCCAGUAAUGCUGAUGUCAGAGGCGAGAGAACACAGCUGGAUUUUCAGGUUCAAGGGGAAAGAGGGAAUCUAUGAUGCUUAAAGUUUGGGAGAAAAUUGCCUUUGGACUGAUCAAGGGAGACUGAUCACAGGGACAUGAUUAUUCUUGGAAGGAAGGAAGGAUGAGGAAAAUUUCCCUUUUAUCCUUUGUAUUCUCCUACUGCAGCAAGAACGAGUGCAGAGAGAAGGGAUUUUGCAGCAGAACGUGAUUGUAGAACUGGAGGCAAGAGAUGUCCCCUGAAGUUGUAAUAAUUGCACAGAGGCAAAGUGAAAAGAUCAGCUGGACCAAGACAAACACAUUUAUUUUAGCCGUAACAGCGUGCUGAUGUGAUGGACUUAAUAAAUAAUGCCUUGGCUAC